GUAGGGUGCGAGCGUUGUCCGGAAUUAUUGGGCGUAAAGAGCUCGUAGGCGGUCUGUCGCGUCUGCUGUGAAAAACCCGAGGGCUCAACCUCGGGCCUGCAGUGGGUACGGGCAGACUAGAGUGCGGUAGGGGAGAAUGGAAUUCCUGGUGUAGCGGUGGAAUGCGCAGAUAUCAGGAGGAACACCGAUGGCGAAGGCAGUUCUCUGGGCCGUAGCUGACGCUGAGGAGCGAAAGCGUGGGGAGCGAACAGGAUUAGAUACCCUGGUAGUCCACGCCGUAAACGUUGGGCGCUAGAUGUGGGGACCAUUCCACGGUUUCCGUGUCGCAGCUAACGCAUUAAGCGCCCCGCCUGGGGAGUACGGCCGCAAGGCUA
rnacentral:rRNA from 1 species